GGAGUUCUGAAUCACACAAGGAUAGCGCGUAUUUGCGCAUUUUCGAGAUUAGCUAAAGCUAGAUGUAAAACAAAACUCAAGUCGUAAACAAAAGGGACUCCUGAGUAAAUAAAGGGGGCGCAGCCCCUGGAGUCCGGAGGAGGCGCCACGGCAGGAGGGGGACGCGCGCGACCAGGGGGAGGGCCGUGGCUCCCAACCCUAGGCGCCCCACCUGGGCUGCCCUGUUGGGCCAUCUUCUUAUUCCGCUGGGCCUUCGUUCCUUAACAGCAUGAUGAAGUUUAAUUCUCUCGCACGAGCUCGAGUGAUUGGCCCAACUGGAUGAUCAACUAUAGGCGCCUGAGGUGGAGGAGCAACUGGAGGCGCCUGAGGUGCUGCUGGUGUAGAUGUACUCGUGGUGUCCUCAUCAUCCUCCCCUUCUUGAACUGAAGUCGUCCUCGACGGCAACUCCUCAUCUUCGCCCACAUACGGUUUCAAAUCUGCAACAUUAAAACUCGUGGAAACACCAAACUCCGCAGGCAAGUCAAGGAUAUAAGCAUUAUCAUUAAUCUUGGUUAGCACUUUAUAAAAACCAGCAGCACGUGGCAUCAAUUUAGAACGACGUAAAGUAGGAAAAUUAUCCUUUCUCAAAUGCAACCAAACCAGAUCACCCGGUUCAAAAGUAACAUGUUUUCUCCCUUUACUACCCGCAACCUGAUAUUUAGCAUUAGCAGCAGCAAUGUUUUGUUGAGUUUGCUCAUGCAAGCUAAUCAUUUGAUCAACAUGUGCAGUGCCAUCUAUGUGUGGGACGUCCUCGGCAUCAAGCGCAAACAAAUCAAUAGGCGCCUGAGGAAUAUAACCAUAAACAACCUGAAAGGGACACAUCUUUGUAGAAGAAUGCGUUGCAUGAUUAUACACAAACUCAACAUGAGGCAAGCAAUCUUCCCAACGUUUCAAGUGUUUAUCUAAAACAGCCCUAAGCAUGGUGGACAAGGUUCGAUUAACCACCUCAGUUUGUCCAUCAGUCUGAGGGUGACAAGUGGUGCUAAACAGCAAUUUAGUUCCCAUUUUAUUCCACAGUGAUCUCCAAAAAUGACUGAGAAACUUAGCAUCACGAUCAGAGACUAUUGUAUUUGGAAUACCAUGCAAACGAAUAAUCUCAUGAAAGAACAAUUCAGCAACAUUGCUAGCAUCAUCAGUCUUAUGACAAGGUAUAAAAUGAGCCAUUUUGGAGAAACGAUCAACAACCACAAAAAUACUGUCCCUCCCCUUCUUAGUUCUAGGCAAUCCCAAAACAAAGUCCAUAGAAAUAUCAAGCCAAGGGGAAGUAGGAACAGGCAAAGGCAUGUACAAACCAUGGUUGUUCAAUCGUGACUUAGCUUUCUGGCAAGUAGUGCAGCGUGCAACAAGACGCUCAACAUCAGCACGCAUCCGGGGCUAAAAGAAGUGGGCAGCCAGCACUUCAUGUGUCUUGUAGAUGCCAAAGUGCCCCAUGAGACCACCUCCAUGCGCUUCCUGUAACAACAAACGACGAACCGAGCUAGCUGGAACACACAGCUUGUUAGCGCGAAACAGGAACCCGUCCUGUAUGUGAAAUUUGCCCCAUGGUUUGCCAUGAAUACAGUGGGCGAAAGCAUCUUUAAAAUCAGCAUCAUCCACAUAUUGAUCCUUCACAGUUUGCAAGCCAAAGAUUUUAAAAUCUAACUGUGACAGCAUGGUAUAGCGAUGAGACAAAGCAUCAGCAAUGACAUUUUCCUUCCCGCUCUUGUGUUUAAUAAUGUAAGGGAAAGACUCAAUGAAUUCUACCCAUUUAGCAUGACGACGGUUCAGGUUUGUUUGGGUACGAUAUGUUUUAAAGCCUCAUGAUCAGAAUGAAUUAUAAACUCGCGAUGCCAAAGGUAGUGCUGCCAAGUAUGCAAAGUUCGCACUAAAGCAUAAAGCUCCUUAUCAUAAGUAGAAUAAUUCAAGCUAGCACCACUUAAUUUCUCGCUAAAGUAAGCAACCGGUUUUCCUUCUUGUAACAAAACAGCACCUAGCCCAAUACCGCUAGCAUCGCAUUCAAGCUCAAAUACUUUAGUAAAAUCAGGCAACUGCAAGAGAGGAGCAUUGGUUAACUUAUCUUUCAAGGUGCUGAACGCAACCUCUUACGAAUCACUCCAAGCAAAGGGAACAUCCUUCUUUGUAAGCUCAUGUAGAGACGCUGCAAUGGAGCUAAAAUCACGAACAAACCUGCGGUAGAAACCGGCAAGGCCAAGAAAGCUUCGAAUUUGUGUGACCGUCGUCGGUGUAGGCCACACCCGAAUGGUAUCGAUCUUGUUGCUAUCCACCUCAAUGCCUUGUGGAGUAACAACAUAGCCAAGAAACGAGACACGUUGUGUGCAAAACAUGCAUUUUUCAAGGUUAGCAAAUAAAUGGGCCGCACGCAACGCAUCAAAAAUAGCACGCAAAUGAUCUAAAUGCUCUUGCAUAGACUUGCUGUAAAUAAGGAUAUCAUCAAAAUAGACAACUACAAACAAUCCUAUGAAGGGCCUCAGAACUUCAUUCAUCAAACGCAUAAAUGUGCUGGGAGCAUUUGUCAAACCAAACGGCAUAACCAACCAUUCAUAUAACCCAAAUUUUGUUUUAAAAGCCAUUUUCCAUUCAACACCUAAUUUCAUUCGAAUCUGAUGGUAGCCACUACGCAAAUCAAUCUUAGUGAAAAUAAUGGCACCACUAAGCUCAUCUAGCAUAUCAUCAAGGCGUGGUAUAGUGGUAAUGUUAUUAAUAGCAGGACAGUCUACACACAUACGCCAUGAGCCAUCUUUCUCUGGAACAAGUAACACGGGAACGGAGAAAGGGCUAAGAGACUCACGAAUAUAACCCUUGUCAAGCAACGCCUGUACCUAGCGCUGGAUUUCCUUCCUCUCAUCCGGAUUUGUACGGUACGGUGCGCAGUUCGGAAGCUGGGCGCCGGGAAUGAGGUCGAUCUGGUGCUCAAUGCCACGAAGUGGUGGGAGUCCCGGUGGCAAAUCUUUUGGAAAGACAUCAGCGUACUCCUGCAAAAUGUUAGCAACCGCAGGGGGAAUAUCCAGAGAUGGUGCAUCAUCAAGUGAAACGAGCACACUAGAGCAUAUAAGGGCAUAGCAUGGCAAAGGAGCAUCGCGUAACUCAUCAAAAUCAGCACGUGUAGCAAGCAAAACAGGAGCAUUCAACUUGAUUUCAGAAUUAACAGAGGUCGAUGGUUCAAGUUGUUUAGCAGUUUUAGCAGCUCUAGCAAGAUCAUCUUUAAGAAUUUGUUCAGGUGUCAUUGAAUGUAUAAUUAUUUUCUGACCCUUAAACAUGAAAGAAUAGUGAUUUGAACGACCAUGAUGCAAGCUAUCAGUAUCAUAUUGCCAAGGUCGCCCAAGUAACAGAGAGCAUGCUUCCAUGGGAAUAACAUCACAAUCGACAAAAUCAGAAUAAGCACCCAUGGAGAAAGGAACAUGGACUGAUCGAGUAAUUCUAAUUUUCCCACCAUCAUUAAGCCAUUGAAUGUGAUAUGGAUUUUGAUGCUUACAAGUGGGUAAAGACAACUUUUCAACCAGCGUGGUACUCGCCAAAUUGUUGCAGCUGCCGCUGUCGAUGAUGAUGCGAAUCGACCGCUCCUGCACAACACCCUUGGUAUGGAAAAGAGUGUGUCGCUGAUUCUUCUCGGACGGAGCGACCUGUGUACUAAGAACACGCUGCACAACAAGACUUUCAUACCUAUCGGCGUCGCCCGGGUUGACAUGGACCUCCAUAGCUGCAUGGUCAGUGGCAAGCAUCGCAUGUUGAGUAUCUUCAAAAUCACUAGCGGAAGAGUACUCACCAUCAUCACGAAGAAAUAAAAUGCGCUUGUUCGGACAGUCCUGAAACACGUGGCCAAAUCCUUUGCAACGAUGACACUGAAUAUCCCGUGUACGGCCUGUGGGAGGGGCGGCGCCUGUGGAAGGGGCAACGCUUGCAGGUUUGGCCGUUCUCUCGCGCGGUGUAGUGGUGGGCGUGGGUGGCGCAGGGAGAGCGGGUGCGGAGUUGGAUGUCGAGCUUCUUCCUGCAAAAGAGUUAGAAUAUGUCUUCGAGCGGCGUCCCUGCACUUCAUGUUCAGCUUUGCAAGCAUAUUCAAAUAAUGUUGUCAUAUCAGUGUAGUCCUUAUAAUCAAGUAUAUCCUGAAUUUCGCAGUUCAAACCACCACGAAAAUGUGCCAUAGCAGCGUCGUUUUCCUCCAAUAACCCACAACGAAUCAUGCCUAUUUGUAAUUCCUGGAAAUAUUCCUCAACAGAUUUGAAACCUUGCUGAAAACGUUGCAUUUUAUUAAGCAAAUCUUGGGCAUAAUAAGAAGGCACAAAUCUGUGGCGCAUAUUUUUUUUUCUUUUCUUUUUUUUCAGGGGGCCCCAAAACGGAGAAAUAGGGGUAAAAUGACUCGAAAACAGCAAGGCACCACACACACUUUUACCCGAAGUACAGAGGUAUUUUGGUAAAAAAAAGAUGGUGCGCGCGGCGUACCCGCGUGAUCGGAUCGGUGUCCGUCUCCCGUGCGGACUGGUCUCUUUCUUUCUUUUUUUUUGUUGGUUGUUGUCUUUCCUUUUUUUUUUGACUUGCCAAACACAUAAGGCAGGGCGGAGAAGGUGAUCAGGGGAAUACGGCGCGGCUGCCUCGCGAUUCGGGAAAGGGCGGCGGUGUGCUACGGUUCAAGACAACGGAAGGGAAAAAUAAAAGAUGAAAAAAACACAAAGUAACCAGCAACAAUUGAUUCGGAAAGCACACAAAUUCAACAAUGCAAAUUAUUGAAAGAAGGUGCAAGGCUCAAAAAGGGUUGCUGGGACAGAGAUCUAACCUGAAAAGAAAUUUUUGUUUGGUUUUUGUGGACUGUAGGAAGGGGAAAAACACUCGAUAAACUCACCAAUCAACCUGGAAAACUGAUACCACUUGAUAGAGUCGGAGUGCCCGAUCUUUCGGUGAGUGGAGAUAAAUUCGACUUGGUGAAAGUAGACCCUCACGAUCUGACUACAACGAGCAAACCCGAAGCGCCAAUGCAAUCGCUGAACCAACUUCCUGUGGUUACCAACCUUGCCAGCGCAAGAUCAGCUUGAUCACGAAGAUCGAUUCCUGUCCGCAAUCGAAGAACGAACAAGAAAAAGAGGCAAGCAAUCUAAAUAUCACUCGAAGGUGGAGUUUUGAAUCACACAAGGACAGCGCGUAUUUGUGCGUGUUCGAGAGUAGCUAAAGCUAGAUGUAAAACAAAACUCAAGUCGUAAACAAAAGGGACUCCUGACUAAAUAAAGGGGGUGCAGCCCCUGGAGUCCGGAGGAGGCGCCACGGCAGGAGGGGGGCGCGCGCGACCAGGGGGAGGGCCGCGGCUCCCAACCCUAGGCGCCCCACCUGGGCUGCCCUGUUGGGCCAUCUUCUUAUUCCGCUGGGCCUUCGUUCCUUAACAGCAUGAUGAAGUUUAAUUCUCU
rnacentral:lncRNA from 1 species